GUAGAUAGAGAAAUUCGUCGCCUGUUGGGAGUACUGAUUGCCUUCGGUGAAGAUAAAUUCUACAAGUGAAACGAUGUAACCUCAAAGCCUUUUUCAAAUGAUGUAACCUCAGAGCUUUUACCCAACUGAUGUAACCUUAAAGCCUUCACCCAAAUGAUGUAACCUCAAAGCCCUUACCCAGAUGAUGCAACCUCAAAGCCGUUACCCAAAUGAUGCAACCUGAAAGCCUUUACCUUUAGAUGUAACCUCAAAUCCUUUACCCAAAUGAUGCAACCUCAAAGCCUUUACCCAAAUGAUGCAACUUCAAAGCCUUUACUCAAAUGAUGCAACCUGAAAGCGUUUACCUUUAGAUGUAACCUCAAAGCCUUUACCCAAAUGAUGCAACCUCAAAGCCUUUAUUCAAAUGAUGCAACCUUAAAGCCUUUGCCCAGAUGAUGCAACCUCAAAUCCUUUACCCAGAUGAUGCAACCUCAAAGCCUUUAUUCAAAUCAUGCAACCUUAAAGCCUUUACCCAGAUGAUGCAACCUCAAAUCCUUUACCCAGAUGAUGCAACCUCAAAGCCUUUACCCAAAUGAUGCAACCUCAAAGCCUUUACCUAGAUGAUGCAACCACAAAGCCUUUACCCAGAUGAUGUAACCUCAAAGCCUAUACCCUUGUGCUUAAUACGAAGUCAACUAUUCUCAAUAUAUAAACGUAGACUUGUUAAAAGAUUUAUUUAAAACAAUGUAGUAUGGUAUUGAAUUAUAAAUACUCACUCGUAUUGUCUGCAUAUGAA